AGUAACAUAUACUAUUGAAAUUACAAAAGCGUACAACACUACUAUAAGGAUUGGCCACCCUUUCAAGUAGGGAAUAAAUCAAGAACUCAAGAGGUAUACUAUCACCUAUUGAGGAUUAUAAACAAAUCAUAUUUGUAAAAUAGUUUCCCAAAUAAAGUGAAAUGAUAUUCUUGAACCUUUAGGAUAGGAAUAGACAAGUAUUAUUGAAGAAUAUGACCAAUGAUGUCAUCCCCUGACCCAACAGAAGGAUGUGUAUGCCAAUUGAGAAUUGCAUUGAAUAAGAUGACACCCUCAAAAUCGAAAAAAACAAAUCUUU
rnacentral:lncRNA from 1 species